rnacentral:rRNA from 1 species
GACGAACCGUGCGAACGUUAUUCGGAAUCACUGGGCUUAAAGCGCGUGUAGGCGGGAGGGCACGUCCGUUGCUGAAAUCCCCCGGCUCAACCGGGGAACGGGCGCGGAUACGACUCUCCUUGAGGGGCGUAGGGGGACCUGGAACUUCCGGUGGAGCGGUGAAAUGCGUUGAGAUCGGAAGGAACGCCCGUGGCGAAAGCGAGGUCCUGGACGCCUACUGACGCUGAGACGCGAAAGCCGGGGGAGCGAACGGG